CUCGGUUGAUCCUGCCGGACCUGACUGCUAUCGGAUUGGUACUAAGCCAUGCGAGUCGUUGUAGCAAUACAAGGCGGACGGCUCAGUAACACGUAGUCAACCUAACCUAUGGACGUGGAUAACCUCGGGAAACUGAGAAUAAACCGCGAUAGAUCAUUAUGCCUGGAAUGGCUUAUGGUUCAAACAAUUUAUUGCCGUAGGAUGGGACUGCGGCCUAUCAGCUUGUUGGUGAGGUAAUGGCCCACCAAGGCUAUAACAGGUACGGGCUCUGAGAGGAGAAGCCCGGAGAUGGGUACUGAGACACGGACCCAGGCCCUAUGGGGCGCAGCAGGCGAGAAACCUUAGCAAUGUGCGAAAGCACGACUAGGUUAAUCCGAGUGAUUUCUGUUGAAGAAAUCUUUUGUCAGUCGUAAAACCACAGACGAAUAAGGGGUGGGCAAGUCUGGUGUCAGCCGCCGCGGUAAUACCAGCACCUCGAGUGGUCAGGAGGUUUAUUGGGCCUAAAGCAUCCGUAGCCGGCUACGCAAGUCUCCGGUUAAAUCCAGCUGCUCAACAGAUGGGCUGCCGGAGAUACUACAUAGCUAGGGAGCGGGAGAGGUAGACGGUAUUCUGUGGGUAGGGGUAAAAUCCACUGAUCCAUAGAGGACCACCAGUGGCGAAGGCGGUCUACCAGAACGCGUUCGACGGUGAGGGAUGAAAGCUGGGGGAGCAAACCGGAUUAGAUACCCGGGUAGUCCCAGCUGUAAACGAUGCAAACUCGGUGAUGCAUUGGCUUAUGGCCAAUGCAGUGCCGCAGGGAAGCCGUUAAGUUUGCCGCCUGGGAAGUACGGACGCAAGUCUGAAACUUAAAGGAAUUGGCGGGGGAGCA
rnacentral:rRNA from 1 species